CCUACGGUCAGUUACUUGUGUCUGGCCGGACUGCCGUUUUACGGAGGAAGGCGGGGAUGACGUCAAGUCCGCAUGGCUCUUACGCCUGGGGCGACACACACGCUACAAUGCCAUCGACAGUGCGCAGCGACCGCGCGAGCGGGAGCAAAUCGCCAAACGAUGGCCCAGUGCAGAUUGGGGGCUGCAACUCGCCCCCAUGAAGGCGGAGUUGCUAGUAACCGCGUAUCAGCCAUGGCGCGGUGAAUA
rnacentral:rRNA from 1 species